GAUGAACGCUGGCGGCGUGCCUAAUACAUGCAAGUCGAGCGAACGGACGAGAAGCUUGCUUCUCUGAUGUUAGCGGCGGACGGGUGAGUAACACGUGGAUAACCUACCCAUAAGACUGGGAUAACUUCGGGAAACCGGAGCUAAUACCGGAUAAUAUUUUGAACCGCAUGGUUCAAAAGUGAAAGACGGUCUUGCUGUCACUUAUAGAUGGAUCCGCGCUGCAUUAGCUAGUUGGUAAGGUAACGGCUUACCAAGGCAACGAUGCAUAGCCGACCUGAGAGGGUGAUCGGCCACACUGGAACUGAGACACGGUCCAGACUCCUACGGGAGGCAGCAGUAGGGAAUCUUCCGCAAUGGGCGAAAGCCUGACGGAGCAACGCCGCGUGAGUGAUGAAGGUCUUCGGAUCGUAAAACUCUGUUAUUAGGGAAGAACAUAUGUGUAAGUAACUGUGCACAUCUCGACGGUACCUAAUCAGAAAGCCACGGCUAACUACGUGCCAGCAGCCGCGGUAAUACGUAGGUGGCAAGCGUUAUCCGGAAUUAUUGGGCGUAAAGCGCGCGUAGGCGGUUUUUUAAGUCUGAUGUGAAAGCCCACGGCUCAACCGUGGAGGGUCAUUGGAAACUGGAAAACUUGAGUGCAGAAGAGGAAAGUGGAAUUCCAUGUGUAGCGGUGAAAUGCGCAGAGAUAUGGAGGAACACCAGUGGCGAAGGCGACUUUCUGGUCUGUAACUGACGCUGAUGUGCGAAAGCGUGGGGAUCAAACAGGAUUAGAUACCCUGGUAGUCCACGCCGUAAACGAUGAGUGCUAAGUGUUAGGGGGUUUCCGCCCCUUAGUGCUGCAGCUAACGCAUUAAGCACUCCGCCUGGGGAGUACGACCGCAAGGUUGAAACUCAAAGGAAUUGACGGGGACCCGCACAAGCGGUGGAGCAUGUGGUUUAAUUCGAAGCAACGCGAAGAACCUUACCAAAUCUUGACAUCCUUUGACAACUCUAGAGAUAGAGCUUUCCCCUUCGGGGGACAAAGUGACAGGUGGUGCAUGGUUGUCGUCAGCUCGUGUCGUGAGAUGUUGGGUUAAGUCCCGCAACGAGCGCAACCCUUAAGCUUAGUUGCCAUCAUUAAGUUGGGCACUCUAAGUUGACUGCCGGUGACAAACCGGAGGAAGGUGGGGAUGACGUCAAAUCAUCAUGCCCCUUAUGAUUUGGGCUACACACGUGCUACAAUGGACAAUACAAAGGGCAGCGAAACCGCGAGGUCAAGCAAAUCCCAUAAAGUUGUUCUCAGUUCGGAUUGUAGUCUGCAACUCGACUACAUGAAGCUGGAAUCGCUAGUAAUCGUAGAUCAGCAUGCUACGGUGAAUACGUUCCCGGGUCU
rnacentral:rRNA from 1 species